GACGAACGCUGGCGGCGUGCUUAACACAUGCAAGUCGAACGGUGAAGCGCCUUCCUUUUUGGUGGGUGGGGAUGAGUGGCGGACGGGUGAGUAACACGUUAGUAACCUGCCCCCUUCUUCUGGAUAACCGCAUGAAAGUGUGGCUACUACGGGAUAUUCUGGGUCUGUCGCAUGAUGGGUGUGGGAAGGAUAUUGUUUCGGUGGUGGAUGGGCUCGCGGCUUAUCAGCUUGUUGGUGGGGUGAUGGCCUACCAAGGCGGUGAUGGGUAGCCGGCCUGAGAGGGUCGGCGGUCCUAGUGCGAAGAAGCGGCCGAGAAGCCUCCGACAGGCGGCAGUAGGGGAGAUUAUGGCAUGAGGGGAAGAAUGAUGAUGCAGCGCCGCGGCGUGAGUGAUGGUGGCCGGCGGGUUGUGAUCUUCUUUCGCGAGUGAAGCAGUGUGGAAUUGUUUGUGGGUGGGUUGACGGUACCUGGUUAAGAAGCGCCGGCUAACUACGUG
rnacentral:rRNA from 1 species